GGCAUAAGACAGGACCAGCUAAUGUGAAGUCAACUCUCAUAGUUGCCCUAGCCCACCAGAAACAGUUUUCAAUCUUCACGACUACAUUAUUAGCAUUCCACUGAAUGCUAGAAGAGCGAAAUUAGCCCACCUCACAAAUUGAAGUAAAUUAACACCUCUGAGAUUUAUGGCUAUAAAUUUGGAUGAUAUACCAGGGCAUGUUUCAGCUUCCUUAUGAGCAUUUCUGGUUCGUUCUGUGAUCACUGAAGAGAAUGGAGAGCAUUUCUGCCAUAAAUCUGGUUCUUGUAAAAAUGUGCCUGCACCAGAGAUAAUCGUCAACCAUCAGACUAAAAUAUGCAGAGUUUCAAUACUGGUAAAUACAAGGGCAUUUCUGCCUCUUUGACGGGAUAAAUCUUUGGCCCUCUUGGCUCUAUCUGUCGGAAGUUGCCAGAUUUCAUAAAUAGACUUCACCGGUCAGUGUCAGUAAACAAAGUGAUCGAUCAAUCUAGAUUCCUAAGCUACUUGUUUUUCCUGCUCUUCCUCUCCAUUUUAUCCAUGGGUACUACUACUGUAUACCCCAGGCUCUCAUUUUUCGUGCUAAUGAUCAUGCUAGUAGUCAAUCAGCUCUCAAGUGGCCGCUUCAUUCACAGCAGAACAAGUGAAGAACCAGGGAAAACAGUCGAAACUGAUCUUUCUUCCCACUUCUCAUGGAAAUUCAAAGAAAUGGUUCGAGAGAGAUCUAGCAAAGAUGAGUCAGACACAAUUUAUCGAGUUUCUCGUCGAAAAAUCCCAGCAGGACCAAAUCCACUUCACAACUGAAGAUAUGUAUUUGUCAAUGGUGUUCUAGUGAUGCAGACAUACAGCAGUUUAUAAUAUUGCUAAAGGAUGCAUUUUCUGGUGGGGCUAUCACAGCCUCAGUGAAGAUACAAGGCUUUUAUGUAUUUUCUCUGUUAGUUUGGCAGAGGCAGGUCAAACUUCAGUACUUCAACUCCCAAGAUCUGAUGCUGAGUCCUCAGUACACAACGACAACAGUUGAUCUCUUGUAUUGGUUCUAGCCACUAGCUAUAGUUCUCUUCCCCCCCUCCCUAAAAUACACUAUGCCUUGAGAAGAAGUCAGGAAUCAAAGAAUGCUCAGUUUGACUCCCUGAAUUUACACUGAGCAAAGCCCAUGAGCAGUCAUUUUUACUUUACUAUUUCAUUAGUAAAAUUGGCUUAACAUUUUUGUUCUUUUUGAAAAUGAAGGGAAUUCCUCUCUCUAAGUCACAGUGCAUGCAAGGAUCCAAGAUGUAGCUAGCAUGAUUUUAAAAAUAAAGGCAAUUCAAACAGUUUAAUUAC